CCUACGGGUGGCUGCAGUCGAGGAUCUUCGGCAAUGGGCGCAAGCCUGACCGAGCGACGCCGCGUGUGCGAUGAAGGCCUUCGGGUUGUAAAGCACUGUCGAGGGGGAGAUCGACCCCUGGAGGAAGCACGGGCUAAGUUCGUGCCAGCAGCCGCGGUAAGACGAACCGUGCAAACGUUAUUCGGAAUCACUGGGCUUAAAGGGCGCGUAGGCGGGCGGUCAAGUCAGGGGUGAAAUCUUUCGGCUCAACCGGAAAAGUGCCUUUGAUACUGGCCGUCUGGAGGGAGGUAGGGGCGUGCGGAACUUUGGGUGGAGCGGUGAAAUGCGUAGAUAUCCAAAGGAACACCGGUGGCGAAAGCGGCGCGCUGGCCCUACUGACGCUGAGGCGCGAAAGCCAGGGGAGCAAACGGGAUUAGAUACCCUUGUAGUC
rnacentral:rRNA from 1 species